rnacentral:rRNA from 1 species
GGAGGGUGCAAGCGUUAUUCGGAAUCACUGGGCGUAAAGAGCGCGUAGGCGGGGUUUCUAAAGUCAGAUGUGAAAGCCCCGGGGGCUCAACCGUCGGAAGUGCAUUUGGAAACUUUAGGGACUUGAGUAUGGGAGAGGGAAGUGGAAUUCCUGGUGUAGCGGUGAAAUGCGUAGAUAUCAGGAGGAACACCGGUGGCGAAGGCGACUUCCUGGACCAAUACUGACGCUGAGGCGCGAAGGCGUGGGGAGCAAACAGGAUUAGAUACCCUGGUAGUCCACGCAGUAAACGUUGAACACUAGGUGUAGCGGGGUUAUUCGACCCCCUGCUGUGCCGCAGCUAACGCAUUAAGUGUUCCGCCUGGGGAGUACGGCCGCAAAGGCU